rnacentral:rRNA from 1 species
AACGAACGCUGGCGGCGUGGAUAAGACAUGCAAGUCGAACGGGACAGACCGAGUAGCAAUAUUUGGAAUGUUCAGUGGCGAACGGGUGCGUAACACGUGGAUAACAUUCCGGAAAGCGGGGAAUAGCCCAGGGAAACUUGGAUUAAUACCGCAUGUGGCCGCAAGGCUAAAGACGGGGACCGCAAGGCCUGUCACUUGACGAUUGGUUCGCGGCCUAUCAGCUAGUUGGGGGGGUAAUGGCCCACCAAGGCUACGACGGGUGGCUGGUCUUAGAGGACGACCAGCCACACGGGAACUGAGACACGGUCCAGACACCUACGGGUGGAAGCAGUCGAGAAUCUUUCAAAAUGGGGGCAACCCUGAUGGAGCGACGCCGCGUGGAGGAUAAGGUCUUCGGAUUGUAAACUCCUGUCAUGCGAGAACAAGGUACUCAGGCUAAUAACCUGAUUGUUUGAUGGUACCGCAAGAGGAAGAGACGGCUAACUCUGUGCCAGCCGCCGCCGUAACAC